rnacentral:misc_RNA from 1 species
GUUAUGGGUUGUUGAGGAUUCUUUUAGAUCAACUCAACAGAGGGUGCAGGUUGCUGCAAUCUUACCUGUCCUUUUAGGGUGCUGCCUGAGCAAUUAUUUGAUUCACUAGAAUUAAUUUGUCACUGAGAUAGCACUUCUCAAUAUGAAAAUUUGGUUUCCUUCCUUAACAACCCUGUAUUUAAAUUUGUGUGCUUCACUUUAAGAUUCUGCAUUUUUAUUUGCUUUAAAGAGUACUGAGUAGGGUUUACUCAGGUAAUGCUCUAUUCUCUCAUUUUCUCUUUUCUUUUUCUUUGUUAAGUUCUAUUUCUGAUCACAGCUAAUAAAUUGAAAACCAUUAUUA